UAGGGAAUAUUGGGCAAUGGUCGAUAGACUGACCCAGCCAUGCCGCGUGCAGGAUGACAGCCUUAUGGGUUGUAAACUGCUUUUAUACGAGGGUAACAGUAGGUACGUGUACCUAUUUGAAAGUAUCGUAAGAAUAAGGAUCGGCUAACUCCGUGCCAGCAGCCGCGGUAAUACGGAGGAUCCAAGCGUUAUCCGGAUUUAUUGGGUUUAAAGGGUGCGCAGGCGGAUUGAUAAGUCAGUGGUGAAAUCUCUCAGCUUAACUGAGGAACUGCCAUUGAUACUGUUAGUCUAGAAUUUAGACGGCGUGGGCGGAAUAUGUCAAGUAGCGGUGAAAUGCGUAGAUAUGACAUAGAACACCGAUAGGGUAGCCAGCUCACGAGGCUAAUAUUGACGCUCAAGCACGAAAGCGUGGGGAUCAAACA
rnacentral:rRNA from 1 species